CGAGUUCGCCGGGUGGCCGCGGGCGGAGGCGAAUGCCUCCGCUUGAGGAAAGUCCGGACUCCACAGGGCAGGGUGCUGGGUAACGCCCAGGCGGGGCGACCCGACGGAAAGUGCCACAGAGAACAGACCGCCGAUGGCCUCGGGAGAGGCACAGGCAAGGGUGAAACGGUGGUGUAAGAGACCACCAGCGCCCCGGGUGACCGGGGCGGCUGGCAAACCCCACCUGGAGCAAGGCUAAGCAGGGACGCAAUGGCCCGUUGAUCAGUCCCGGGUGAGCCGCAGGAGGUCACCGGCGACGGUGAUCCCAGAUGGAUGGUCACCGGGGACCGGAGACGGUCCCCACAGAAUCCGGCUUACAGGCGGGCUCGUUCU
rnacentral:RNase_P_RNA from 1 species